rnacentral:rRNA from 1 species
GACAGAGGGUGCAAACGUUGUUCGGAAUUACUGGGCAUAAAGCGCGUGUAGGCUGCUCCGAAAGUCGGAUGUGAAAGCCCUGGGCUCAACCUAGGAAGUGCACUCGAAACUUCGGAGCUGGAGUCCUGGAGAGGAAGGCGGAAUUCUCGGUGUAGAGGUGAAAUUCGUAGAUAUCGAGAGGAACACCGGUGGCGAAGGCGGCCUUCUGGACAGUGACUAACGCUGAGACGCGAAAGCGUGGGGAGCAAACAGG